AGCAGCCGCGGUAAUUCCAGCUCCAAUAGCGUAUAUUAAAGUUGUUGCAGUUAAAAAGCUCGUAGUUGAAUUUCGGGAUCAAUAUGUCGGUCGUGCCUUCGGUACGUACUGGUAUCAUUGGUCUCUCCUUUCUGACGAACCAUGAUGUCAUUAAUUUGGUGUUAUGGGGAGUUAGGACUGUUACUUUGAAAAAAUUAGAGUGUUUAAAGCAGGCUUUAGCUUGAAUACAUUAGCAUGGAAUAAUGAAAUAGGACGUUCGAACCUAUUUUGUUGGUUUCUAGGAUCAACGUAAUGAUUAAUAGGGAUAGUUGGGGGCAUUAGUAUUCAAUUGUCAGAGGUGAAAUUCUUGGAUUUAUUGAAGACUAACUACUGCGAAAGCAUUUACCAAGGAUGUUUUCAUUAAUCAAGAACGAAAGUUAGGGGAUCGAAGACGAUCAGAUACCGUCGUAGUCUUAACCAUAAACUAUGCCGACUAGGGAUCGGAUGAUGUUAAUUUUUUAAUGACUCA
rnacentral:rRNA from 1 species